UGAGCCUCUUUACAAUGCUGCCUUGUAGACCCAGAAUCAAGCAGCAUUGUACAGGGCUAUGA
ncrna:Ictalurus punctatus (channel catfish) microRNA ipu-mir-103 precursor (ipu-mir-103-2)